rnacentral:rRNA from 1 species
AUGGGUGGUAAAUUUCAUCUAAAGCUAAAUACUGGCCGGAGACCGAUAGCGCACAAGUAGAGUGAUCGAAAGAUGAAAAGCACUUUGAAAAGAGAGUUAAAUAGCACGUGAAAUUGUUGAAAGGGAAGCGCUUGCGAACCAGACUCGCCCGCGGGGGCUCAGCCGGCACUCGUGCCGGUGCACUCCCCCGUGGGCGGGCCAGCGUCGGUUUGGGCGGUCGGUCAAAGGCCCCCGGAAUGUGUCGCCCUUCGGGGCGUCUUAUAGCCGGGGGUGCAAUGCGGCCAGCCCGGACCGAGGAACGCGCUUCGGCACGGACGCUGGCGUAAUGGUCGUAAGCGACCCGUCUUGAAAC